AUGGCAGUGCAGGUGGUGCAGGCGGUGCAGGCAGUUCAUCUAGAGUCUGACACUUUCCUUGUUUGUCUCAACCAUGCUCUGAGCACAGAGAAGGAGGAAGUGAUGGGGCUGUGGAUAGGGGAGUUGAACAAUGAUACAAGGAGUGACUCCAAAUUUGCAUAUACUGGAACUGAAAUGCGCACAGUUGCUGAAAAGGUUGAUGCCAUCAGAAUUGUUCACAUUCGUUCUGUCAUCAUCUUAACGACGUUCUGAUAAGAGGAAGGACCAAGUAGAAAUUUCACCAGGGCAGCUGUCUGCAGCUUCAACAGAGGCAGAGAAGUUGGCUGAACUGACAGGCCACCCCAUGAGAGUUGUGGGCUGGUAUCAUUCCCAUCCUCAUAUAACUGUUUGGCCUUCACAUGUUGAUGUUCGCACCCAAGCCAUGUACCAGAUGAUGGAUCAAGGCUUUGUAGGACUUAUUUUUUCCUGUUUCAUAGAAGAUAAGAACACAAGGGCUGGCCGGGUACUCUACACUUGCUUCCAAUCCAUACAGGCCCAAAAGAGUUCAGAGUCCCUUCAUGGUCCACAAGACUUCUGGAGCUCCAGCCAGCACAUCUCCAUUGAGGGCCAGAAGGAAGAGGAAAGGUAUGAGAGAAUCGAAAUCCCAAUCCAUAUUGUACCUCAUGUCACUAUCGGGAAAGCGUGCCUUGAAUCAGCAGUAGAGCUGCCCAAGAUCCUGUGCCAGGAGGAGCAGGAUGCAUAUUGGAGGAUCCACAGCCUUACACAUCUGGACUCAUAACCAAGAUCCAUAAUGGCUCAGUGUUUACCAAGAAUCUGUGCAGUCAGAUGUCAGCAGUCAGCGGGCCUCUUCUACAGUGGUUGGAGGACAGACUGGAGCAAAACCAAUAGCAUUUGCAGGAAUUGCAACAAGAAAAGGAAGAGCUUAUGCAAGAACUUUCUUCUCUGGAAUAA
rnacentral:lncRNA from 1 species